GCUUUGGCGACUGGAAGCAGUGCCGAGCCUCAUUCGCCAAGGUGCUUAAAAAGGAAAAAACAGGUUUCGCCCGGGUUUAUCAUCCUGGCUAGAAACAAAAUGUAGUCUCUCUAAAACAGGCAGUCUGCCUCAGGUUUGGGCGUAAUAUUUCUUCGCCAGGGCUUUAACCCCCUUUGCAGGGAAUGGAAAUCCUGCAAAGAGUGCCUCUCUCUCUGGGAUGGGAACUUUGCUUCCUGGGACUUUUACAGUAAGACUGGAUGUUUAGACUACAACAGUAAAGGGACACGAUGGACUCAUCCCAUAUUAGACACUCAUCCAAAUGAAAACCACAAUGAUGAAGACUUACCUGAACUGAGAGGAAGAUAUAACAAUAUGGAUUAAAACUUUUUUGCUUUCCUUCGAAUGAGAAUUUUGUCAUCUCCACCACUUAUUAGGAUGAGCCACUCUAAGCUGUUGCUUGUUUUUAUUCUUUUUUCCUCUUUGAAUUUAAGAAAGGAGACUGAAUGAUAAGGUUCACUAAAGAUGUGAUGGUUAAAGCUGUAACCUGACCCUGUGAUGGCCAUACCUUCAUUACCAGAUUCCUGCCCACCCAAUAGGAUCCGCAGCAGCGCGGGAGAGAGAAACUUCUUAUCUUGAGAAAUUAAUGUUCUACUUGAAGGAUUGGAAGAUAUCAAGACUUCUUUGUCUUUCUGCUCCAGGUUUGUUUUAUUUGUAGGUGUGCUGGGACACAUCUCCCUGUUGUAUAUUUUGGCGUACAGAAAUAUUUCUGAAGGAUUUUUUUUUAAAUAAAAGAAAAUAAAUAAAUAAAGAAGACCGAAAACCGAGGAGAAAGCUCAGCAAACAUACAUGGAACAGGUAGCUAAUUCAGUGACACGUGGUUUAACUCCUACCCAUCUUUGCCCUUUCUGUGCAUUAAAGAAAAUAUUUACAAACAUCUUUCUUCAUUUCCCCCCCCCCCUUGUUUUGCUCGCUUCGCCUUUUAAAAAAAUCUAAAUACACUCAAUGUGACAAGAACGUUUUCGUGUGUGCGUCUGUGGGUAUGUGAGUCUCCGUAUGUGACUUCGGUGAAAAAAAAACAGGCAGUCCAGACCGUGUGAAAUCACAUCCAUCAUUCAAAAAAAAAAAAAAACCCAACAACACCCACCCCCACAAAAAUUGCUGGAAACUAGUCUAAGUUUAUUUUUUUUUCCUUUUAGUGCUCAGUUUCGAAUGCAUAGAAACGUUUGCUCUGCAAACAAUGAUACACUGGAAGUGUGUAUUGGGGGGGGGGGAGAUUCCUUCGACAGGCGUGAUAAAUUAUUAAAUCAAAAUAAAUAAAUAAAUAAAUAAAUAAAUAAAUAAAUAAAUAAAUAAAUAAAUAAAUAAAUAAAAUGCAGCCUCCCGAGACCUGAUCUCUGAAUCUUCCUAUGCCAUUUCAGGGUAUGCAUGCAUAAUCUCAGCUCCUCCCCCUUUACCACCCCUCCCAAAUUUCCUCGAUAAAAAAGAAAAGUCCUUUUUGUUUUUU